rnacentral:sRNA from 1 species
AUGAACCUACAUAUACAUUUUUGCAACCAUUUUAGCAAAUAAAUCCUCUACUUGACACUUAUUUACAAUGGCAUGCCAUUGACAUUAA